UUUCUGGCCAGAAACUAGCCACACAUCUGGCGAUCUUGCAAGAGGUCCCUAAGUCCCGGCUAAAGAAUAAAGGUAACUAGGCUGCUCUCUGUCUCGGAAAUGUUCUCUCUGGAGGUGCCUUAUGGCUUUCCACGCGACAACUGAUGUCAAUCCUAAAAGGGCAGCAGUCCUAAAGGCACUUUGGAGCUACCUUGGCGAGGAUGUUGGACAUCUCAUCAGGAGUAUAAGGACAUUGAAGGAGAUGACAUCUGGAGAGACCUGCAGAAAUCCACCAUGGGCAGAUAUGUCAUCGACGAGGAGCAUGGAGAAAU